GAUGACGACGGCAGCCGCGGCGACACCCAAACAGCCGCCACCUCCCGACCCUAUCCUCUCCCCCCAGCCUCCCCAGGCGGCCUUACGCCGCCGAUCGGUGGAGUGGCGCCUGAUGACUUCGACCCUUCUUGUACCCGUAUCUGACAUGAAGGUAAUCUGCAUUCGUCAAUAUAGGAUUGCUUGUUUCAGAAUUUUAAUGUCUUUUCGAUUCAUUUAUAUGGCUAUUCUGCGAUGUUGUUAGGCAAUCACCGAUUCAUUUAUAUAGCUGAUCCUUCACCAAAUGUUUUCGUAAAUUUAGCUGAAUCCUUGAUAGGUAUUUGGAUGGUUAUCGGCGUUGCUAGACUGCUAAGUGGUCUCAAAUAAACCUUAGGGAGACUUCCAGAUUUGUCUUGCAUGAUCUCUUUGGUGUCUAUCAUCCCCUUCUCUCCUUAAUGAACAAGUAUUUCACCAGAACUUUGAAUUUAGACAAAAUUACACUUUAACUUGAACACUAUAUUAGUUUAAUUAGUCUCUUGUUUGUUGAUACAUGUUAGGAGGCAUUGUCUCCUCCGUGAAUUGGAUCGAACACUGGUAGGAGAUGAUCAACCAUGACUUUCAUAGUGAACCAUGCAACAAGAACUUUUAUUUUUUUGUCAAGAGGCCUAAUUACAUGCUUGCUAUGGUAGCAUCUAAUCUGAUAUAAAUUAAUGCAAAAUUGAGGAGACAGUUCCAACUAGUAGUAAUAUUAUCCUAACUAGAUGCCCUAAAAUCUUGUUCAAUCCUUCCAUGAAAUCUUAUUUAUCAUGAGAACAACCUGCACUGCAUCAGGACAUGUCCAAAGAAGAUCUUUAGAUGCACCAGUUAGAUGAGUUGAAUAAAUUACAAUUUUACUGUACGAGGAGAGAACCUAGAAAACUUUGUUGAAAACCAAAAAAAAAAAGAUUACUCUUAAUUUGACUAGCGGUUUUGCUCCACCCCAAAUAGUUCAGACAUUAUGGUUUGUUGUUGGCAUGGAGGUAUCAAGUAUUCCAAUCACCCAUCUGCAUGAGUCCCGUGCCACAUUCCCACAUAUUUUUGGACAUGGGUCUUACACAUGCCAUUGCAUAGUGUUGAUAGCCUGUUGGUGCAUUAUGUUCUGCUUGGUAUGUGCAAAAUGAUCUGUACUUUUAUGAAUGGUAACGCUAUGAUGUUUUCAAUGCAAUUGCUUAUAGAUUAAUUAUUAUUGUGAUUUUUUUUAAUCUCAUUACAUAUAUAGUUAGACUAGUUGAAAUCUUAGUUCAGCGGUGUUGGUGGUGGUAGUAGUCGUUGCAAAAGAUGUUAUGCUUUCAUGGUGGACUUCUUUAUAUUCUUAGGUUUAGAUGCUUAGACCUGUAGCUUGUGUUGAUCUGGUGUUUGUUUAAUUUAGUCAUUUUUGGGGAAUUUGUUGGAAAAUUCAGUGUAGGAUGUUUUGGUAAAUGGUAGUCUGAGACAGAUCUAAAAUCCAGAAUAGUUUUGACAAUCUCAUUGUUUUAUCAUUGAAGGGAAUAGUUCUGAGUUCAAGAAUAACCAGGUUCAAUUCCCACUACAAUUAUUACGCUGACAUUUCAAGAAUAGAAUUCAUGUAAAUAUUGCCAUAACAUCCAAACUUCCUUACAGCUAAAUUGACUUGAUCAUUUGAUGUUUACAAGUUCCUACUUUGCCAUCACGCAGCAUCUCUUCCGCCUUUCCGGCUCACAUACUCGCACAGCCGGCACGGCAGCGCAUCGAGGCUGGUGGCACGGUUCUUCCUGUAGUAACCCAUCACACCGCACCUCCUCCAAGCAUGGUACUCUGCAUAGGCAAUGGGG
rnacentral:lncRNA from 1 species